UUAGGUUUUCGUUUUUUUUUUAAUUUCCGGUUUGUUGUUGUUGAACGUUGACAGUAGGGUUUUCUUCUCCCAAGCAAUCAACUUCGUCGAGAUUUAAUUUUUGCAAGGCAAUCGGUAGGAUCUUCUUCUCCGAGGCAAUCAACUUCGUCGAGCCAUUUGAAAUGCCGGGGAGAUGGUGUUUGUUGUUAAAAUAACACAUAGAAGGUACAUGUUACGAUUUAUUGUUUCAUUUGAUGAAUGUACUUUUCUUUCUAUUUAUUUAAUUUAUUAACUUUUUAGUUGCUUCUUGGUUGUUCUUCUUUUCUUCUUUCUGUUUGAUGGCUUUCAUGCACGGGAAGUGUAAAACCUCUUUGGGAGAUGGUUUUUGAAUAUUUCUGGCAUGUGUUUAGGUGACGAAAUUUUAUUGUGUAUUUUUCAGGAUUUUUCAUGUUUUGCAGCUUCUUGGACUGAUAUCAUUUGUUGACGUUGUCUGCAGAUUAAAUCUUGAUGAAAUAAUUGUGGGUGAGGCUGAUAUUGUUGAUUGUGGCCAACAUGAUUUUGAUCACUACAACAAUUAUCAUUGUUUCCCACACUAAAUCUCAAUCCAUGUAGUUCAAUUUUAAUUUUUUUUUUGGCUAUCGUGUUACUUUUUUCCUAACCAUGGCAUUAUAUGAUUUAUGGUUUGUAAUGCUUCUUUAGUGUUUAUAGUCACUUAAGUGUUUGUGUUCAUUGGUUGUUGCAACCGAUAGUUCUAGGAGUUGAAUUUACCUUCGAUUGAUUGAAUUUGGUACCUAAACGGUUAAAGGCAGUUGAAGACAUUUUAGAUUGUGGUUUGAGUAACAAAGGUGUAUGAGAUAAUGCUAUCUUUGAUGUUUAGACUUGGUUGAUUGUAUACUUACAUGGUUAGCAUUGAAUUUUAAUUCAUCAUAUGCUAA